rnacentral:tRNA from 9 species
GUAGAUAUAGUUUAACAUAAAACAUUGGACUGUGGCUCUAAAGAUAGGGGUUAAAAUCCUCUUAUUUACC